rnacentral:rRNA from 1 species
UACAGAGGGUGCAAGCGUUGUUCGGAAUUAUUGGGCGUAAAGCGUGCGCAGGCGGUUCGCUGUGUCCGAUGUGAAAGCCCCGGGCUUAACCUGGGAAUGGCAUUGGAAACUGGCGGGCUUGAGUGUGGCAGAGGGGGGUGGAAUUCCGCGUGUAGCAGUGAAAUGCGUAGAGAUGCGGAGGAACACCGAUGGCGAAGGCAGCCCCCUGGGCUAACACUGACGCUCAGGCACGAAAGCGUGGGGAGCAAACAGG